UAGCAAGCAAAUGCCGCAGGGAUUUGAACCCCAUCCUGGAAACCAGGAGUGCCAACCACCAGCAUCUUUUGCUUUUUUUGGGGGUGGAGCACUACAAAGGCAAAAGCAAAACCUGAGAAAACAAUUAUUUGUUCUCCCAGUAAAAGAAAACCUGAUUUGCUGCCUAAACUUCCAAUCUUGUAGCAAUCCUGGCAGAUGGUAAAUUCCUGAGCCUCCAUGUAUUCUCAAAACAAUCCACACGUUCCAUUUGCAAUCUCUGACCUUGCAAGCCAAUGUCACUCACUAGACUGAAAUGCAACAAACCACCACACCAAACACGACACAAAUGGAACAGAACCAUUCCAGCAGUCAUUACAGUCAGAAUACUAAAUAUCAUUAGAUUUUAAAUCUUAAACAUUGAUUACUCAUUCAUAAUUACACAUGGCAAAUAGACUGUUACAUUUGACAGCUUACGGACACUGUACUUCUGUUCAUCUGGAGACCUUCAGGAUUCUGGUAUCUGAAAAACUAAAGAGAGGCCAUUUUCCCCACCCUAAAAACCCUAGUGAAUUUCAUAAAUACAAGUUUAAAGACUGCACCUGUGUAAAGGCUGUCCACAGUAUUCACUUCAUCAGCAAGGGCUGGAAACCUGAAAAAACUAAGAACAAGACUGUUCCCCACCCUAAACCCAUCAAAUGAAAUGGUGCAAUAAGAAUGAAGAUCAGAACCUGGUGAGUUCGUCCAGCGUACAGUUAUCCAUCUAAGCAAGCACAGCAGGAGACCUGAAAGAACUAAAGAAAACAAGUCUUUUCCCCACCCGAAACCCUUUGAAAUGGUUCAAUAAAAAUGAAGUGGAGCACCUGUUUGCCAGUCCAGAGUAUGGUUAUGUUCCAAGGCUUAGCAGCAAGCAGUGAAGAUCUGAAAGAGCUAAACACAAGAAGGUUCCCCACCCAAGCCCAGUUGAAAUGGAUUUGAAUAAUGAAAUUCAGCACCUGUUUAGUCCAGUAUACGAGUGUAUUCCAACUAAUUAAGCAGCGUAGACUGGAGUCCUGAAACUAAGAACAGACUUCCCCACCUAAAUCCCUUUGAAAUGAUUAUUAAUGGAAGGAGCACCUGUUACACGAGUCCGGUGCAUGGCUGUUCCAUCUAUCUAACGCGACAUGGGAGACCUGAAAAAUACUAAGAAGAUGACUGAUCCCCACCCUAAACCCCUUUAAACUGUUUUAAUUAGAAGAGUCAGCACCUACUGGAAGACAGUCCAACGCAGCGAAUUCACUGGGCAAUACAGGAAAGCUGAAAAACUAAGACUGGCUGCGUCCUUAACCCCAUUGAUGGGAUACCUUAAAGUUUGUAGGUCUAUUUUGAGCAACAGAGAUGGAAAUCUGGGGAGAAAGAAGAGUGCUGUUUCAUAGCCCUACACCCCCCCCCCACUAAUGAAAUCAAUUAAAAGCUCCAGCAGUAAUUUAUACACCACAUGCUAAAAAUCAUUUACAACCAAAACGGGAAACUAAUCUCAUGGGGAAAAUAGAAAUGAAAUUCAUACCUCUCCAAAACACCAGUUAACUUGCUUCCCAGAUGUCUAUUAGUGCCUUCCUUGGUAGAUCAAGCCUUCUAUCUUUGUAGCCCAUUCAAGCAAGUAAUGCUACUUUGAUAGCUCACUGCCUCCUGUAUUUUACUUUUCCAACAUUAUUUACAUCUAUGGUUCAGUUUUAUCUUGGAGAAAGAUUUGUAAGGAAUUAUGACCUACUGCAUUCAGUGAAGGUUACUGGACCAGCUGUAAGUAAUUCUAGGCUUGUUCGUUCACAUCUGCAAAAUAAAAUCUAGGAAAUAUCACCUUACUUUCCCCCCCCCAACCCCAUUUCAAUUUGCAACAAAUCAGUUUGCAACUUGCAACUUAAAUUUACAAAGUAAUCUUUUCAGAAAUCUUAGUAUGACACUUAUCUGUACCAGGAGUGCUUCUGAACCCAACCACAACAUACUUUGGGAAGUGUCGGAUCUAGACUUGAAAUAAGGCUACAUGUCUUGCAAACGAUCCAAGAAAUUCAGUCAUACGAACAGCUCCAGUCGCAAACUCAUUCAUCCUUUUAAAAUGAUGGCUCUGCGCAGAUUCCUUACAACAUUCAGUCUGAAGAACUCUGGGCUGUCUGUCUCACUCAAAAGCUCGACACUUCAAGUAUGAGAUUUGCUUCGACUUGUGAUACCUGAAAAAAUCUUAAGGAAAAGAAGCCAAUCUUCCCACCCAGCCCAACAGUACUCUACAGAUACAAGCAAUUUAUGUAAACUAAUUUGCUGACCUUUCUUCACUGCAAAUCUAGUUGGCUUGUUGUUUCAUCUACAGCUACUUCAAACCAAUAUUCUUAUUAUCCAGAAUGCAUGCAAUUUACAAAGCCAACAUCCCCUGAAGUGGAUUUUCCAGGGUAAUUAGUCUCAAUUACAUCGUGCAACUAUUAAGCAGCUAACUAGAAAAGGAAAAAUUAACUGCCACCUUCAAUCCAACUUAACAGAUUUGUGAUUUAACAACCAAUUCCAUAUGAUGAAUCAAUAUAGAUUAGUGCAGUUAAUCAUGCACAGCUCAAUUCCAUGCCAUCAUUUCGAAUUUUUUUCCUACCACCAAUGCAAUUUUGUAAAAUUGCAAGUUAAAUUGAAGUGAUUCACUGCAGUUAAUAUAUACUGACAGGUAAAGCUUAAUCAUCAAUGGUCUUCGGGAAGAGCACCAAUUGGUCCACAAAGACAAACUAACUUUAAAAGGCUUACAGGGCACUCUACAAUAUUAUGCUGUUUUACCUUAGGAACAAGCAACUUUAUAGUCUGAAAUCACUGGUUUAGCGUGUUCUGAAAUGACUGGUGUUUAAUGUAUUCUGAAGGUUUACUUGCUGUGAUUGUAGACAGAUUUAAAGAUCAUCUUCAAGAUCCCAUAGCAGAAUAAAGCUUUGUAGGAGCACACCUGGAAAAUAAAAUCUUGGAACAACUUUCCCUAUCACCCACUCCCACUUCAGGAAGCAUUCUUCCAAAGCAGGGUGUUCGCGUACAAAAUUUAUAAACAUGCUGUUGUUUAAAGCUACAACACUCAAUUUCCUACAGAAACAAUGGGAGUGGAAUUUAAACUCGUAAAGCCAUACAAGGUAAAAUCCAUUGCCCCUGAUUAUUUUUGUUCAAACUGAAAAUUUUACAUUCAGUGCAACAAUAGUGAGUUAUCAGUCACUGCCCCAUACUCAGAAAUGAGAAGUGUUACUUAUCUUCAACACUGCAGUAGGAGGUAAUCAUUCUGAAAGAGUUCUUCUCAACCAUUACACUGAAAGAGUUAGUUGCUGAGCUGAUUUACAACUGCCUGGUUGAAACUCAAGAAUCUUUCUUCAGUGGGCUCACUGGAUUGUUUUCCUGGGUGCCUGUAAAAGUCUCAACAACACAUCUUCCAUCCCAUCAAUCCCCACAAAUUCAGCCAGCAGCUGAUCCACAACUGUUCUCUUCCUGCAUGUUAAAUAUUUUAGAUGCCAAGUUUGAAGCAAUUCAAGUUCUUCACCAUUCCCAAGUCAAUCUUCCAUCCAUUUACUGCACAUUGAGUUUAGACUCUCUUUACACAUUUUCCGAGCAGCAAACUUGUUAUAAACACAGAUGCUGGAAUAGACAAAGUGCUGGAGGAACUCCAGUCAGGAGAGGCAGUUAUGCCGGUAUGUUCUUACAGCAGUUUCUCAUUCGGACUUCAUUCCCCCUCCUCUUCUGUACUGAUAAAGGGUCUCGGCCCAAAACUGCAGUUUAUUCCAUGCCAUAGAUGCUAAGUUCAUCCAACAUUUUGUGUGUAGACCCAACUUGUUAACCUAGCAAAAGCAUGAAUUAACUUCAGCUACCUACGUACAACCAAGAGAAGGGCGAAGUAUUCAAUGAUCCAGUCUCAGAAACACAACUUCCACCUGCACGGAGACUCCAAUAUUCACAUUCCCAAUCGACUUUACUGGCCACCUGUAAUCCUGAACGGUUUUAUUCUUGCAGACAAGAAACAUUACUACCACUGGGACGUCUAUAGGAUCUGGAAGAGAAUUCUGAGAGCUCGUUGUACCCAACCCACCCAAACAGCAGCAAUUUAAAAAAUUACUGACAAAAUGUCAUGUUUUGUUAACUUCGAAACUGACGUUUAGAGACAAGUUGCUCACGUUUAGCUGCAUCUUUGUAAUCUUGUAGGAGGAAGUGUUGUAGAAAUAGAUGUUGCCUACGGUCCUGUUAAGUACAUUUAGUUUACUGAAAGCCAGUGAUUCCUUUUGCAAUCAUUCUUCCCAGUAAGUUUCAGAUUUGAUGGGAUCCCAGUAUUGGAGCUGAUCAGUAUCUUAUACCUGAAAAAUAAGAACUAGACAACAUUUCGCACCCCUCCCCAACAGCAAAGCUAUGCACAAGUUUGGAUGGCAGGCAUAAAGCCCACAGGUAACUAACACCUGUAUGAACAGCAGGCAUAAAGCCCACAGGUAAAUUACCAGCUGUCUGAAUAGCAGGCAAAAAGCCCACAUGCAACUCACUACCUGUCUGAACAGCAGGCAUAAAGCCCACAGGUAACUCUCACCUGUCUGAAUAGCAGGCAAAAAGCCCACAGGUAACUCACACCUGUCUAAUAAAGCCCACAGGUAACUCACACCUGCCUGAACGAGGGGCACAAAGCCCACAGGUAAUUCACACCUGUCUGAACGAGGGGCAUAAAACCCACAGGUAACUCACACCUGUCUGAACGAGGGGCAUAAAGCCCACAGGUAACUCACACCUGUCUGAACGAGGGGCAUAAAGCCCACAGGUAACUCACACCUGUCUGAACGAGGGGCAUAAAACCCACAGAUAACUCACACCUGUCUGAACGAGGGGCAUAAAGCCCACAGGUAACUAACACCUCUCUGAACGAGGGGCAUAAAGCCCACAGGUAACUCACACCUGUCUGAACGAGGGGCAUAAAGCCCACAGGUAACUCACAUCUGUCUGAACGAGGGGCAUAAAGCCCACAGGCAACUCACAUCUGUCUGAAUGGUGGGCAUAAAGCCCACAGGCAACUCACACCUGUCUGAACGAGGGGCAUAAAGCCCACAGGUAACUCACACCUGUCUGAAUGGUGGGCAUAAAGCCCACAAGGAACUAGCUCUGAAUAGCCAACACUUAAAAUAACCCUGCAUGAAAUAAUGCACCAAAUUGCAAGCUAAAUUGUAAGUGGAUUUCACUGCAAUUAGAAGAUUAUAAUGACUAGUAAAGCUUAAUCAUCUCAGUGGUCUUUGGGAAGAGCAACAACUGGUCAAGAACAAAACUAAAUUAACUUUAAAAGGCUUACAAGGCAUUCUACAAAAUUAUGCUGUUUUACCUUAAGAACAAGCAACAUUAUAGCCGGAAAUCACUGGUUUAGCGUGUUCUGAAAUGACUGGUGUUUAAUGUAUUCUGAAGGUUUACUUGCUGUGAUUGUAGACAGAUUUAAAGUUCUUCAAGUUCCCACAGCAGAAUAAAGCUUUGUAGGAGCACACCUGGAAAAUAAAAUCUUGGAACAACUUUUCCUAUCACCCACUCCAGGAAGCGUUCUUCCAAAGCAGGGUGUUCACGAACAAAAUAUAUAAACAUGCUGUUGUUGAAAGCUAAAACACUCAUACUUUCCUACAGAAACAAUAGAACUGGAAUUUAAACUCAUAAUGUCAUACAAGAUAAAAUCCAUUGCCCCUAAUUAUUUUUGUUCAGACUGAAAACUUUACAUUCAGUGCAACAAUAAUGGGUUAUCAGUCACUGCCCCAUACUCAGAAAUGAGAAGUGUUACUUAUCUUCAACACUGCAGUAGGAGGUAAUCAUUCUGAAAGAGUUCUUCUCAACCAUUACACUGAAAGAGUUAGUUGCUGAGCUGAUUUACAACUGCCUGGUUGAAACUUAAGAAACUUUCUUCAGUGGGCUCACUGGAUUGUUUUCCUGGGUGCCUGUAAAAGUCUCAACAACACAUCUUCCAUCCCAUCAAUCCCCACAAAUUCAGCCAGCAGCUGAUCCACAACUGUUCUCUUCCUGCAUGUUAAAUAUUUUAGAUGCCAAGUUUGAAGCAAUUCAAAUUCUUCACCAUUCCCAAGUCAAUCUUCCAUCCAUUUACUGCACAUUGAGUUUAGACUCUCUUUACACAUUUUCCGAGCAGCAAACUUGUUAUAAACACAGAUGCUGGAAUAGACAAAGUGCUGGAGGAACUCCAGUCAGGACAGGCAGUUAUGCCGGUAUGUUCUUACAGCAGUUUCUCAUUCGGACUUCAUUCCCCCUCCUCUUCAGUACUGAUAAAGGGUCUCGGACAAAACUGCAGUUUAUUCCCCUCUAUAGAUGCUAAGUUCAUCCAACAUUUUGUGUGCAGACCCAACUUGUUAACCUAGCAAAAGCAUGAAUUAACUUCAGCUACCUACGUACAAACACGAGAAGGGCGAAGUAUUCAAUGAUCCAGUCACAAUGAUCCCGGUAUUGGAGCUGAUCAGUAUCUUAUACCUGAAAAAUAAGAACUAGAAACCAUUUCACCUCCCCAACCUUGUGCAGUGGGCAUAAAGCCCACUGCAAAUUCCAAAUGGCAGGUACAAUGGCGCAACUACAUCUGAAUGGCAGACAUUAAGCCCACGGGUAAAUUCCAAUGACAAAGCUCAGGAACAAGCUGAGCUGAAUGUUACUGCAAAUGCAGUAAUAUCUUAAAGCUGUGUAAUUGUUUUAUUAUUUAUCCCAGACUCAUGCAUUAUGUGGGGAGCAUUCCCAGCUGACCCAGUAGAGCUUGCCUACUGUACCCCUCAGAAACACAGGCAUAAAGCCCAGUUUGUGUGUAAUACCGACCACAUCUGCCAUUGAUAAGAUUCUGCUGCCCUGCUCAGUAAGUCCAAAAGUACACUUAGCUGUGAGGAAGUGAACUGUAAGCACCAGGGUUGUCCUGAGCGCAAACCUUGUCAAGUCACGCACUGAACCUCAACCAGAACAAAGCAAGACUGGUCUUUCAGAGUUGAUCCCUAGAGAGCGACACAGCCAGGACACCAUGCUCCACACAGCAAGACAGCUCAGAAUGAGGCACUGAAAGAUAAAACUGGACAUUGUUGCCCACCCUACGGACCCCACGGUGUAGGAGCAAAGCACGACGACACCGGGCUCCAAACAUACAAACCAAACCAGGCUGCCUCCUCAUCUUCACUUGUGCUAUCUGCCUCGGUCCAGGACUCACUCCUUCCUGUUUGCCUGGUCCAGACUUGUUCCAUCCUCUCCUGCCUUGAUCCUCUCUCUGCCUGUUCCAGCUGGCUCCAUUCCCUCCUGCACGAUCCUCUCUCUCUGCCUGUUCCAGCUGGCUCUGUUCCCUCCUGCACGAUCCUCUCUCUCUGCCUGGUCCAGACUUGCUCCGUUCCCUCCUGCACGAUCCUUCCUGUCUGCCUUGAUCCAGGAGACUCACUGCAUCCUCUGCUUCGUCACAGUUCUAGCUCAGCAGCUCUUGGCUUGCGGUUGCUGGACAGCUUGGCCACCCAUUGUCACUGACAAGUUGCAAGUCCAUCAUCACCAGUCCCUUUCACACCCAACAGCACUGGACACACUGGCUCAACACUCUGCCACAUCUUCAGGCUCCCACCAGCAGGCUGGGGAGCCCCUGACCUUGCGCAGCAGCUCCCAUCACAGGUACAAAACGCAGUCACUGCAGCGGAAAUGACGGCUCCCUGCCCCACCCAGGCCAUCCCUGGAGGCCCUCUCCUACCCAGCCCUACCUCAGCUCAGGGUGUGGCUAAACCCCCCCCCCCCACCACCCCCGGGACAGGUGAUGUCCUCCCACCUGGACACAUUUACAGCCGAAGGAAUCAACCCCUCCCACAACCCCACUAACAGGAUUACAAGGAUCGCCGACCCCUCAAACUCCACCGUCCCGCUAACGGGAUAAACUGCGUCACCCACCCUUUGGCCCAGCCCCAGUGUUACUGGCUUCAACACCACCACCAACUCUACAUAUACGCAGAAUCCCCUCCACCCUACUUCAGGCCAAAGCCAGCAUCCGGCCCAUUUAACAGCCGAGAGCUCUCCACCACCUCUAUCAGCGCCACCCCCCCCCCCA